GACGAACGCUGGCGGCGUGCUUAACACAUGCAAGUCGAACGGAAAGGCCACUUUCGGGGGGUACUCGCGUGGCGAACGGGUGAGUAACACGUGAGUAACCUGCCUUUGUCUUUGGGAUAACUUCAGGCAACUGGGGCGAAUACCGGACAGGAGAUCCUGCUGCACGGUGGGGGCUGGAAAGAUUCGGCGGCUGGGGAUGGCCUGGCGGCUUAUCCGCUUGUUGGUGGGGAAGUGGCUUACCAAGGCUUUGCCGGGUAGCCGGCCUGUGGGAGUGACCGGCCACAUUGGGACUGAGAUGCGGCCCAGGCUCCUACGGGAGGCAGCAGGGGGGAAUAUUGCACAAUGGGUGGAGGCCGGAUGCAGCAGCGCCGUGUGCGGGAUGACGGCCUUCGGGUUGAAGACCGCUUGCGCUCGUGACGAAGCUUUGUGUGACGGUAGUGGGUAAAGAAGCAACGGCUAACUACGUG
rnacentral:rRNA from 1 species